UGACAUCUUCUGACCCCUCUAGAGAUAGAGUUUUUCCCUUUGGGGGACAGAGUGACAGGUGGUGCAUGGUUGUCGUCAGCUCGUGUCGUGAGAUGUUGGGUUAAGUCCCGCAACGAGCGCAACCCUUAAGCUUAGUUGCCAUCAUUAAGUUGGGCACUCUAAGUUGACUGCCGGUGACAAACCGGAGGAAGGUGGGGAUGACGUCAAAUCAUCAUGCCCCUUAUGAUUUGGGCUACACACGUGCUACAAUGGACAAUACAAAGGGCAGCGAAACCGCGAGGUCAAGCAAAUCCCAUAAAUGUUGUUCUCAGUUCGG
rnacentral:rRNA from 1 species